UAUUAAAAAUUCCAUCUAUUUCUACUAUUAAAAAUUGAUGUGGUUGAUGGAAUAACCGAAAAGUUACACAUGGCGUGCCAUAUGUACCUCAUGCUGACAUACAUAAACUAGUUUUUAACGGUACAAAUGAAUAGAAUUUUUAACA
rfam:Gossypium raimondii Chr05_contig_1344, whole genome shotgun sequence.